GACGAACGCUGGCGGCGUGCUUAACACAUGCAAGUCGUACGGUAAGGCCCUUUCGGGGGUACACGAGUGGCGAACGGGUGAGUAACACGUGCGUAACCUGCCCACAACUUUGGGAUAACGCUAGGAAACUGGUGCUAAUACUGGAUAUGUGCCCCUGCUGCAUGGUGGGGGUUGGAAAGCUCCGGCGGUUGUGGAUGGACUCGCGGCCUAUCAGCUUGUUGGUGGGGUAGUGGCCUACCAAGGCGGCGACGGGUAGCCGGCCUGAGAGGGUGACCGGCCACAUUGGGACUGAGAUACGGCCCAGACUCCUACGGGAGGCAGAAGUGGGGAAUAUUGCACAAUGGGCGCAAGCCUGAUGCAGCAACGCCGCGUGCGGGAUGACGGCCUUAGGGUUGUAAACCGCUUUCAGCAGGGACGAAGCUUUUUGUGACGGUACCUGCAGAAGAAGCACCGGCUAACUACGUG
rnacentral:rRNA from 1 species